rnacentral:rRNA from 1 species
GUGGGUAACCUGCCUUAUAGUGGGGGAUAGCCUUUCGAAAGGAAGAUUAAUACCGCAUAAGAUUGUAGUAUCGCAUGAUAUAGCAAUUAAAGGAGCAAUUCGCUAUAAGAUGGACCCGCGUCGCAUUAGCUAGUUGGUGAGGUAAUGGCUCACCAAGGCGACGAUGCGUAGCCGACCUGAGAGGGUGAUCGGCCACAUUGGGACUGAGACACGGCCCAGACUCCUACGGGAGGCAGCAUGC